rnacentral:tRNA from 1 species
GUGGGUAGAGCUCAGAGGUAGAGUGCAUGCCUAGCAUGCACAAGGUCCUGGGUUCAAUCCCCAGUACCUCCU